CCGUUGGUUCUAAAUCUUUAUUAAGGGAACCUGGUUUAUGUUGUAGACCUACUCUACGACUAAAGGUUUGUCUACUGUCAAACAAGUGGUCUAAUAUGGGUUGUUUCUUUCAACUAAUAUAUUUGAAGCCUGACUUUGAAAAGAAAGGACCCCCCCCCAUAAAGAAGAAGAACAACAACAACAAACGCUAACUUUACUAACAACCUUGUUGAUGACUCUGUCAGUCAUGUCACUCCUGGACAUUUCCCAGCGUGUUUGUUCAGAGUGAUCUAUCAGUGCAUAAGCAAACAGCACAUGGAUGCUGGGAACUGCUGGAGUCUUUUCGGUCAAUAAUAAUGAUAUCAUAUGAAUCAUAAAACACUGAGUAAUCCUGUGAAGAUUAUGACAGCAAUAACUCUGGGAAAGUGAAGCUCACGUGUGUGAAUAUGUGUAUUAAAGUGUUACAGUGACAUCAGGACUCACUGACCCGGUCUGUCACACAACAGAGAUUUCUUGCACACAAUCCUUGCUUUAAAUCACUACAUUUGUCUCCACAUACACAUGGUUUGGUUCCGGUUGGAAGCGGACGUCACAUUGCUGACUGUCACUUGUUUACCAGCUUCCGGAUCAGAGCUCAUUCUUUUUCUCAGCUUUGAACGCCUCCACUGUGCCACAAAUUUAAACCCACACCACGUGGAGGUUAUAGAACCUUUUGUGCUCUAAUAAUGGUGAAAUGGAGGGAUGGGCUUGGAGCUGCAGAGGGGAACUGCACAUCCAGAGGUUCCUCUUCUGCUGCUGCAGUUCUGGUGUAAACAAGUCAGGAUUGUAUGUGAAGGAUCCUACUGUGCUGCUCUCUCUCUCUCUCUCUCUCUCUCUCUCUCUCUCUCUCUCGGCAAAAUUUCCUAUGCAUUGGGGCUCACCCUAGUGGUAAAAAAGAAAAUCUUUUUCGCAACAAACAAGGGUGGGAGUACUUGU